rnacentral:rRNA from 1 species
GACGAACGCGGGCGGCGUGCUUAACACAUGCAAGUCGAACGGAAAGGCCCUGCUUUUGUGGGGUGCUCGAGUGGCGAACGGGUGAGUAGCACGUGAGUAACCUGCCCUUGACUUUGGUAUAACUUCAGGAAACUGGGGCUAAUACCGUAUAGGAGCUCCUGCUGCAUGGUGGGGGUUGGAAAGUUUCGGCGGGUGGGGAUGGACUCGCGGCUUAUCAGCUUGUUGGUGUGGUAGUGGCUUACCAAGGCUUUGACGGGUAGCCGGCCUGAGAGGGUGACCGGCCACAUUGGGACUGAGAUACGGCCCAGACUCCUACGGGAGGCAGCAGUGGGGAAUAUUGCACAAUGGGCGGAAGCCUGAUGCAGCAACGCCGCGUGCGGGAUGACGGCCUUCGGGUUGUAAACCGCUUUCGCCUGUGACGAAGCGUGAGUGACGGUAAUGGGUAAAGAAGCACCGGCUAACUACGUG